AUUGAACGCUGGCGGCAUGCCUUACACAUGCAAGUCGAACGGCAGCACGGGUGCUUGCCCCUGGUGGCGAGUUGCGCACGUGUGAGUAAUACAUCGUUACAUGUCCUGUUGUGGGGGAUAGCCCGGCGAAAGCCGGUUUAAUACCGCAUACGCUCUACGGGAGACAGCGGGGUAUCUUCGUCCCUCGCUCUUUAGUGUUGGCCGAGGGCGGAUUAGCUAGUUGGUGGGGUAAAGGCCUACCAAGGCGACGAUCAGUAGCUGGUCUGAGAGGAAGACCAGCCACACUGGGACUGAGACACGGUCCAGACUCCUACGGGAGGCAGCAGUGGGGAAUUUUGGACAAUGGGCGAAAGCCUGAUCCAGCAAUGCCGCGUGUGUGAAGAAGGUCUUCGGGUUGUAAAGCACUUUUGUCCGGGAAGAAAUGCUGGGGCUUAAUACGGUCGGGGGAUGACGGUACCGGAAGAAUAAGCACCGGCUAACUACGUG
rnacentral:rRNA from 1 species